GGUUAAGCGACUAAGCGUACACGGUGGAUGCCCUGGCAGUCAGAGGCGAUGAAGGACGUGCUAAUCUGCGAAAAGCGCCGGCGAGGGGAUAUGAACCUUUGACCCGG
rnacentral:rRNA from 1 species